UGGGAUAGCUCAGCUGGUAGGAAAAGCAUGAGACUCUUAAUAUCAGGGUCAUGGGUUUGAGCCCCACAUUGGGCACAA